rnacentral:tRNA from 1 species
AAACGGAUAGCUUAAAAACUAAAGCGAAACACUGAAGAUGUUGUGAUAGAUUUAUUCUUCUGUUUA